AAAAGAUGGAACUUUCCUUGUAGCUUCUAUGUUUUCUUCGGUGUGCUAACGUGCGCGCUGUGCCACUGCUUAACAUGCGCCACUGAGAUAUGUCGCCGGCGGGAACAGUUACAUCAACGAUUAUCAGAAUCUCGAGGUAUAUGGCAGACUACUAGGAGAUUAAGGCGGUGGGUUUUAAACGGCGGAGAUUGGAUCUCCUUGGGACCUACGCCAAGAAAUGGACGGCCAAAAAAGCCAAGCGA
rnacentral:misc_RNA from 1 species